rnacentral:rRNA from 1 species
GAUGAACGCUAGCGGCAGGCCUAAUACAUGCAAGUCGAGGGGUAGUGGAGGCUUGCUCCAUGAGACCGGCGCACGGGUGCGUAACGCGUAUGCAACCUACCUUAACCUGGGGGAUAGCCCGGAGAAAUCCGGAUUAAUACCGCAUAAAAUCACAGUACGGCAUCGUACAAUGAUCAAACAUUCAUGGGGUUGGGAUGGGCAUGCGUGCCAUUAGUUA